rnacentral:rRNA from 1 species
AUUGAACGCUGGCGGCAGGCCUAACACAUGCAAGUCGAGCGAGCGGCGGACGGGUGAGUAAUGUCUGGGAAACUGCCUGAUGGAGGGGGAUAACUACUGGAAACGGUAGCUAAUACCGCAUACCAUCAGAUGUGCCCAGAUGGGAUUAGCUGGUAGGGGGGGUAACGGCUAACCUAGGCGACGAUCCCUAGCUGGUCUGAGAGGAUGACCAGCCACACUGGAACGGAGACACGGGCCAGAAUCCUACGGGAGGCAGCAGUGGGGAAUAUUGCACAAUGGGCGCAAGCCUGAUGCAGCCAUGCCGCGUGUAUGAAGAAGGCCUUCGGGUUGUAAAGUACUGUCAGCGGGGAUGCGUUACCCGCAGAAGAAGGACCGGCUAACUCCGUGCCAGCAGCCGCGGUAAUUC